rnacentral:lncRNA from 1 species
AUCCCAACCACAAGCUGCUGGAUUUCCUCUUCAUUUGAGUUAAAGUCUUUUGCCACUUGAUUUUAUUUUAGGACAAGACUCUCAAGCAGGUCUGAGGUUUGAGUUUGGGGGAUUUUCUUUGCAAUACUCCCAUAUUUUAACUCUUCUUUUUCACCAGAGGACUGUGAACAACCUUCUCCUGUGUCCAACCACUUUUUCUUCAUUUAUAAAUGUUGAAGAUUUCUUACUUUGAAGCCCCUUUUGCAACUCCUAGCAAAGUGCCUGGUACUAGACGAUAAAACUGGCAGACUCCAAUCCCUUCCUCCCUGAAACUCCCCUGUGGAUCAGACAUCACAAUGACAGUUCUGCAGUGCACACGCCUCUGUUUCUAUGUCUGGUCCAGGUCCAGAAGUAGCGAAACAAAGGCAGCUGUUAACAGCUCCGACUGGCCGAGGGAAAACCCAGAGGAUAAGAAAUCUCUUGAGAAGACCCAGAGCCAUGAGAUUUGCAGUCAGAUAGCCAGCCCAACUCUCAGUGACCUCUCAGAGAGAACUGAAAACGUCUGGCUGCUUGUCACAACUGAACAUCCAACCCCAUUGCUGAAGGAAACCCAUCGACCGCCUCAUUAAAAUCUCCUUGGCACAACCCAAGCUGGUCUUCCAUCACUGGGGGCAGAAGGAGCUGAGUGUGGAGGCAAUUUGUUCCUCGGAGCAUGCAUCAUUCCUCCAGUCAGGGCGUGCAUCUGGCCAGCCUGCCUUGGACUGCUUUACAGAGCCGUGGACGCUGUCCAGAGCGCUCUGCUCAGUGUCCCCGACAAGAUGGCCAUCAAAGACUGGGUUAGGGGUCAGGCACCCAAAGCCAUUAGCACUCCAAAGUGAUUGAUUACCAUCAUGUGUGGUCUCAAUCAAGAGCCGGUAAUGAGCUGCAUUCAUUAAUCCCAUUUAUAUGUUUGCAUAGUCCAGUCUUGAAUUUCAGAGAAUAAAAAGGCUUCAUACUGCGAUCGGCA